rnacentral:rRNA from 1 species
AUUGAACGCUGGCGGCAUGCCUUACACAUGCAAGUCGAACGGUAACAGGUUAAGCUGACGAGUGGCGAACGGGUGAGUAAUAUAUCGGAACGUGCCCAGUCGUGGGGGAUAACGUAGCGAAAGCUACGCUAAUACCGCAUACGAUCUACGGAUGAAAGCGGGGGAUCGCAAGACCUCGCGCGACUGGAGCGGCCGAUAUCGGAUUAGGUUGUUGGUGAGGUAAAAGCUCACCAAGCCUGCGAUCUGUAGCUGGUCUGAGAGGACGACCAGCCACACUGGAACUGAGACACGGUCCAGACUCCUACGGGAGGCAGCAGUGGGGAAUUUUGGACAAUGGACGCAAGUCUGAUCCAGCAAUGCCGCGUGCAGGACGAAGGCCUUCGGGUUGUAAACUGCUUUUGUACGGAACGAAACGGUGAGCUCUAAUACAGUUUGCUAAUGACGGUACCGUAAGAAUAAGCACCGGCUAACUACGUGCCAGCCGCCGCAGUAA